GCCAGAGUAGCUCAGCCGGUAGAGCAGUCCCUUCGUAAGGGAACGGUCGGCGGUUCAAUUCCGCCCUCUGGCUCCA
rnacentral:tRNA from 1 species